GACGAACGCUGGCGGCGUGCCUAAUACAUGCAAGUCGAGCGAAGUUUUUCUGGUGCUUGCACCGGAAAAACUUAGCGGCGAACGGGUGAGUAACACGUAAAGAACCUGCCUCAUAGACUGGGACAACUAUUGGAAACGAUAGCUAAUACCGGAUAACAGCAUUAACUGCAUGGUUGAUGUUUAAAAGUUGGUUUUGCUAACACUAUGAGAUGGCUUUGCGGUGCAUUAGCUAGUUGGUGGGGUAAAGGCCUACCAAGGCGACGAUGCAUAGCCGACCUGAGAGGGUGAUCGGCCACACUGGGACUGAGACACGGCCCAGACUCCUACGGGAGGCAGCAGUAGGGAAUCUUCCGCAAUGGGCGAAAGCCUGACGGAGCAACGCCGCGUGAGUGAAGAAGGAUUUCGGUUCGUAAAGCUCUGUUGUUAGGGAAGAAUGAUUGUGUAGUAACUAUACACA
rnacentral:rRNA from 1 species